rnacentral:snRNA from 1 species
AUGCUUACUUUGGCAGCACAUAUACUAAAAUUUGAACCAUACAGAGAAGAAUAGCAUGGCCCCUGUGCAAAGAUGACAUGCAAUGUAACCUGUAUACCUCUAACUGUUU